UACGAAGGGGGCUAGCGUUGCUCGGAAUCACUGGGCGUAAAGGGCGCGUAGGCGGCCUUCUAAGUCAGACGUGAAAUCCCCCGGCUUAACCUGGGAACUGCGUCUGAUACUGGAGGGCUUGAGUGCGGGAGAGGGAUGUGGAAUUCCAGGUGUAGCGGUGAAAUGCGUAGAUAUCUGGAGGAACACCGGUGGCGAAGGCGGCAUCCUGGACCGACACUGACGCUGAGGCGCGAAAGCCAGGGGAGCAAACGGG
rnacentral:rRNA from 1 species